GUUAUCUUGACGAAUCAGAUUACCACAUCACUGAGCAGUGGCCCUGGGGUCUGGGCAGACCUGGUGUCUCCAGCUGAUGAUUUGUCCCUGUCUGAAGAUUGUUCUGUGAGUGAGAAGAGAGAUUCUAGUUAUGUGACAGCAGCCCUUGGCAACACAUGGAGUCACAGCAUCAACACCAGGCUCAUACUACAAUACCAUGACUUGCCAACAAGACAGCUCCUGGUUGCUAAAUCCCCUGUUGCUCCAUUCUCCACUUUUUUCUACACCAUUGAGAAAUCAGGCUUGGUUCUUCAAGACCGAAAGGAUCAAACUAAUUUAGUUUGGGAAGGAACCAAUCCUGCCCUGCAGCCCAUACGAGUGAGGAACACUGCCCUGAAAGAUACUUUACAUGAUGCUACUUUACCCAGCACUACUGGUGAGACUUCAAGAAGUACAUCAAAUCUAUAGAAAGGACAAAUGAAACCUCCCCAAAGACUUGAACAAAUGAUGACAUUGGUUUUCAAAAAUCUGGUGAAGCAGAGAGUGAGCAUUCUUCUUCUUUCGUAUCUUCAAAGAUUAACUUUAAAACCAAGUGCUGUUCUUUGUAUAUGUGGAGCAAUACUUAACUCUGAACUUAUGAAAAACCAGUCUUUUGCUUAGGUUAAUUUAAGUGACUUGAUAAUAAAAGCCUCUGAACAACA